rnacentral:SRP_RNA from 14 species
UGCGCCUCAAAGAGCGGGUGCACCCAGGUCGUCUCCCUGGAGAUGGCGUUGUAAAAAUAUAUCCUCCGGUGGCUGUCCACCGCCUCCCGCCAGGGCGGCAACAGAGCAGCCAGCAGCAACUCCUGAACG